UGGGGAAUAUUGGACAAUGGGCGAAAGCCUGAUCCAGCCAUGCCGCGUGUGUGAAGAAGGUCUUCGGAUUGUAAAGCACUUUAAGUUGGGAGGAAGGGCCAUUACCUAAUACGUGAUGGUUUUGACGUUACCGACAGAAUAAGCACCGGCUAACUCUGUGCCAGCAGCCGCGGUAAUACAGAGGGUGCAAGCGUUAAUCGGAAUUACUGGGCGUAAAGCGCGCGUAGGUGGUUUGUUAAGUUGGAUGUGAAAUCCCCGGGCUCAACCUGGGAACUGCAUUCAAAACUGACUGACUAGAGUAUGGUAGAGGGUGGUGGAAUUUCCUGUGUAGCGGUGAAAUGCGUAGAUAUAGGAAGGAACACCAGUGGCGAAGGCGACCACCUGGACUGAUACUGACGCUGAGACGCGAAAGCGUGGGGAGCAAACAGGAUUAGAUACCCAAGUAGUCCCUGAGCGGGCUGGCAAGGCGCAU
rnacentral:rRNA from 1 species